ensembl:lncRNA
GGUCAAUCAACAGAAUGUUAUUUUCUUAAGUGGGGAACUGCUAUUUGUCAUUUUUACUUUGCUGCUGCUGCUGCUGGACGACCUGCACCAGGUUUACCUCUAAUUCUAAACUCCCACUUCAUUAGAAAUAAAGCCAGUCUUCACAGAAACAUAAAGGACAUUUUUCUUCAAACCAAGACUCGUGAGCUAAAAGAGCAGUUGAGGAUGGUCUUACUUCUCCAUGUUCUGAAACCAUUUUAAACCAAAACAAAAAACAGACAACCUUGCAGGAAACUCAGAGUAAAUAAAUAGUCCUUGUCUGUUAAGUGAAAUUGUUCCUUAAGGUGGAGAGACUGAGACAGGAUCCGCCAGAAGAUUACACACUAUGUACAUUAAUAGCAAAAUCAGCUAGAAGAUUGAGAGUUUCUACCAUUAGGAAACAUACACAAAUACCAUCACACCCAGAAAAACCCAUCGAAGCUGUUUUGUCAAAAGUGUGCCUGAGAGGUGCGGAAAGCCUGCAACAUUUGUGAGCCAACUGUCUGUGGAUUUCUUCUCAUCUGCUUUAAAAUAUUUGGUUUUGCCGUAUUUCCAUAAUAACCACAACCACACUCUCCCCUCCAAAAAGCCCCCACAACAACAGAUG